ACGAACGCUGGCGGCGUGCUUCACACCUGCAAGUCGAACGGGCCUUGUCCCCUUUUUUUUUGGGGGUGGGGUUAGUGGCGAACGGGUGAGUAACACGUGAGUAACCUGCCCCUCACUUCUGGAUAACCGCUUGAAAGGGUGGCUAAUACGGGGUGUUCUGGCCUGCUCGCAUGGGUGGGUUUGGAAAGAUUCGACCGGUUUUGGUUGUUUUGGUGGGGGAUGGGCUCGCGGCCUAUCAGCUUGUUGGUGGGGUGAUGGCCUGCCAAGGCUUUGACGGGUAGCCGGCCUGAGAGGGUGGGCGGUCACACUGGGACUGAGACACGGCCCAGACUCCUACGGGAGGCAGCAGUGGGGAAUAUUGCACAAUGGGCGCAAGCCUGAUGCAGCGACGCCGCGUGAGGGAUGGAGGCCGUCGGGUUGUGAACCUCUUUCGCCAGUGAAGAAGGUCCUGCUCUUUGUGGUGGGGUUGACGGUAGCUGGGUUAAUGAAGCGCCGGCUAACUACGUG
rnacentral:rRNA from 1 species